rnacentral:rRNA from 1 species
UCUAUACGGUGAAACUGCGAAUGGCUCAUUAAAUCAGUUAUCGUUUAUUUGAUAGUACCUUGCUACAUGGAUACCUGUGGUAAUUCUAGAGCUAAUACAUGCGGAAAACCCCGACUUCGGAAGGGGUGUAUUUAUUAGAUAAAAAACCAAUGCCCUUCGGGGCUCCUUGGUGAUUCAUAAUAACUGCACGAAUCGCAUGGCCUUGCGCCGGCGAUGGUUCAUUCAAAUUUCUGCCCUAUCAACUUUCGAUGGUAGGAUAGUGGCCUACCAUGGUGGCAACGGGUAACGGGGAAUUAGGGUUCGAUUCCGGAGAGGGAGCCUGAGAAACGGCUACCACAUCCAAGGAAGGCAGCAGGCGCGCAAAUUACCCAAUCCCGAUUCGGGGAGGUAGUGACAAUAAAUACUGAUACAGGGCUCUUUUGGGUCUUGUAAUUGGAAUGAGUACAAUCUAAAUCCCUUAACGAGGAACAAUUGGAGGGCAAGUCUGGUGCCAGCAGCCGCGGUAAUUCCAGCUCCAAUAGCGUAUAUUAAAGUUGUUGCAGUUAAAAAGCUCGUAGUUGAACCUUGGGCCUGGCUGGCCGGUCCGCCUCACCGCGAGUACUGGUCCGGCCGGGCCUUUCCUUCUGGGGAACCCCAUGGCCUUCACUGGCCGUGGCGGGGAACCAGGACUUUUACUGUGAAAAAAUUAGAGUGUUCAAAGCAGGCCUUUGCUCGGAUACAUUAGCAUGGAAUAAUAGAAUAGGACGUGUGGUUCUAUUUUGUUGGUUUCUAGGACCGCCGUAAUGAUUAAUAGGGAUAGUCGGGGGCGUCAGUAUUCAGCUGUCAGAGGUGAAAUUCUUGGAUUUGCUGAAGACUAACUACUGCGAAAGCAUUCGCCAAGGAUGUUUUCAUUAAUCAGGGAACGAAAGUUAGGGGAUCGAAGACGAUCAGAUACCGUCGUAGUCUUAACCAUAAACUAUGCCGACUAGGGAUCGGACGGUGUUUCUAUGAUGACCCGUUCGGCACCUUACGAGAAAUCAAAGUUU